ensembl:lncRNA
UUUAGUUUCACUGACCAAACAAAGCACGGCUGCCAGGAGAUUAUACCCAGGCAAGCAAAACAAAAACAUCAGAUGGUGCCAGAACAUUACUAGUGCUACCAUUUAAAGCAUCAGUUGGAUUGGAGCUUUAUCUCAGAUCACGACUUUUGCUGUAUUGUGCCACAAAAUCUGAAACUAUGCAAAGAGCUUUUGCAGGAAAAAAAAAACCCUUGGCUUAACUGUGAAAGGGCUGUCUGUUGGCAGAAUGUUCUCAAUGAGAAGCUCAGCAGAAGGGCUUGAUUUGCCAGAGGCUGAAAUUGCUAAACUUCACCAUACACUGUCAUCCCAGAAGACUGCAUGCCGCAGAGAUCAGCAGAGCUGGGCAGCAGGCAGCAGCUGGUACCUUGUGCUGCCUUUGACACACUGCUCCAUCAGUUCAGAAUCUUGUCCAGCGUCAUUCUCUUGGAGGCCUCAAAGAAGUCAUUUUGCUGUGGUGUCCCAGCUACAGUAUUUAGCCCAUAAAGCGGUCUCUGGAGUUCUCAGGCUAUCCCAGCAGGAAUGCAGGGCGAAACCUCAGAUAUGCCUGAUCCUUUCUGUGUUUUCCAGGACUUUUCAUUUUCCACUCUACUUUUUUUCGUUUCUUCUUUUUUCUUUUCCUUUGCCCAAGCUUGUCAAAUAAAUUGCAUCUGUUUUUUUGGCCGUUACAGUUUAUGGUUUCUAGGAAAAAGAAAGACUCUGCCCAUUUACAAUAAAUACCAGAGAGCCAGAGUAGAGGGAUUGAGAAGCAGGAAUAUACUGGAGGAAAGUCUGAUGCUUGGAAGGGGAAAAUACUUUUCUAUUGUAAAUUUGUGCCAAAUUAUAACUGAACUAUCUUUGAAGAACCUCAGGGAUGAAGCUGUGUGGCUUGUGGUUUUCCUUAAGGGUGUCUGGAGUGUGACUAGCAUCAGUGAAAGCAGCAAUGGCUUCUCCCAACAGCUGCAACUGCUUGGGGUUCAGUAGAACAUAAGGAAGCCAUUUGAGGACAGAACAAAUGACAUUUUGUUUCCUUUACCACUUCAGGAGUGGGCUGAUAGUUUCAUUUUAUGUUUCUUACCCUAUGGGAUCAUUGCUUCAACUGCUGAUAAACGUAGUCAUUGUUAUUAAGACUGAUGGUGUAAUUUUAGCCUGGUGGUGGAUGAUUCUUUUUCAACCUGUUGGUAACAAAUAAUGUUAUUUAUUUUUACCUUCAGGAAAAAAAAAACCCCAAAAAAAACCAAAACAAAAAACUCCAACCUCCAUUUGAUUUAUGUGCUACAAAUGCACUAAUAAAUUACAAUUAAGUGGAAGAUGGAGCCUUCUGUGUCAUCUUUGUUUUCCUGUUGCUGUCUGUAAAGAUAUUUUCUGGUCCCUCUGUGCAUAUGCCAGCUACACUGAGAAUAGAAACAAUGGCAGCACCUGAACGUCAUUUGUUUUAUUUCUUCAGAACUAUGUUUGUUUCAGAGGAUCAGGGAGAGGAAGAUAAAUAGAAAAG